CUGGGAGGGCGGAGGGUCGCCUCCGGCUUUGCCGGGGGAGGAAAGUCCGAACUCCGCAGGGCACGAUGCCGCGUAACCCGCUCCUUAAGGGUGGGAUACACGCGGGAGACGGCGCUUCAAGGCGUCGCCGACGGCCAGUGCAACAGAAAACAAACCGCCCGGUUCGCCGGGUAAGGGUGAAAAGGUGGGGUAAGAGCCCACCGCCCCGAGAGUAAUCGAGGGGGCACGGUAAACCCCAUUGGGAGCAAGACCAAAUAGGGAGUCCGGGAUUGCCCGUCCCAUUGAGGCUCCGGGUUGGGUCGCAUAAGAUAAAUGGCCCUCUCCGCAGCCGGCUCGUCCGGCUCGCGCAGACAGAAUUCGGCUUACAGCCCGACCGGGAUC
rnacentral:RNase_P_RNA from 1 species